rnacentral:RNase_P_RNA from 1 species
CGAGCAGGCCGGACGGUCGCGGCGACAGCCGAGGAAAGUCCGGGCUCCGCAGGGCAGGGAAGCGGGUAACGCCCGUCCGCCGCGAGGCGAGGACCAGCGCCACAGGGACGAUCCGCUCUUCGAGCGGGGUGAAACGCGGCAAGCUCUUCCUGGAGCAAGAUCACGCAGGGGCAAUGGUGUGGCCCGCACCGCCCCGGGUCGAUCGCUAGAGGCGGAGGGUGACCUCCGAUCCCAAGAGGGAUGACCGUCACCGCUCUCCCGAGCGGGACAGGACCCGGCUUACAGGCCUGCUCGGCAU